rnacentral:rRNA from 1 species
CAAGCGUUAAUCGGAAUUACUGGGCGUAAAGCGCACGCAGGCGGUUUGUUAAGUCAGAUGUGAAAUCCCCGGGCUCAACCUGGGAACUGCAUUUGAAACUGGCAAGCUAGAGUCUCGUAGAGGGGGGUAGAAUUCCAGGUGUAGCGGUGAAAUGCGUAGAGAUCUGGAGGAAUACCGGUGGCGAAGGCGGCCCCCUGGACGAAGACUGACGCUCAGGUGCGAAGGCGUGGGGAGCAAACAGGAUUAGAUACCCUGGUAGUCCACGCUGUAAACGAUGUCGAUUUGGAGGUUGUGCCCUUGAGGCGUGGCUUCCGGAGCUAACGCGUUAAAUCGACCGCCUGGGGAGUACGGCCGCAAGGUUAAAACUCAAAUGAAUUGACGGGGGCCCGCACAAGCGGUGGAGCAUGUGGUUUAAUUCGAUGCAACGCGAAAAACCUUACCUACUCUUGACAUCCAGA